rnacentral:rRNA from 1 species
UAACACAUGCAAGUCGAACGGGAAAGUGGGGCAACCCAUGAGUACAGUGGCGUACGGGUGAGUAACACGUGGAUGAUCUACCUCUUAGUGGGGAAUAACCCUGGGAAACCGGGGCUAAUACCGCAUAAGCUCGGGAGAGGAAAGCAGCAAUGCGCUGAGAGAGGAGUCCGCGGCCGAUUAGCUAGUUGGUAGGGUAAAAGCCUACCAAGGCAAAGAUCGGUAGCCGGCCUGAGAGGGCACACGGCCACACUGGCACUGAAACACGGGCCAGACUCCUACGGGAGGCAGCAGUGGGGAAUCUUGCACAAUGGGGGCAACCCUGAUGCAGCGACGCCGCGUGAGCGAUGAAGCCCUUCGGGGUGUAAAGCUCUUUCGGCAGGGAAGAUAAUGACGGUACCUGCAGAAGCAGCUGCGGCUAACUACGUGCCAGCAGCCGCGGUAAUACGUAGGCAGCGAGCGUUGUUCGGAGUUACUGGGCGUAAAGGGUGUGUAGGCGGUUGCUUAAGUUUGGUGUGAAAUCUCCCGGCUCAACUGGGAGGGUGCGCCGAAUACUGAGUGACUCGAGUGCGGGAGAGGAGAGUGGAAUUCCUGGUGUAGCGGUGAAAUGCGUAGAUAUCAGGAGGAACACCGGUGGUGUAGACGGCUCUCUGGACCGUAACUGACGCUGAGACACGAAAGCGUGGGUAGCAAACAGGAUUAGAUACCCUGGUAGUCCACGCCCUAAACGAUGCAUAUUUGGGUGUGGGCAGUU